CGUGGGUAACCUGCCCAAGAGAUCGGGAUAACACCUGGAAACAGAUGCUAAUACCGGAUAACAACAGAUGAUGCCUAUCAACUGUUUAAAAGAUGGUUCUGCUAUCACUCUUGGAUGGACCUGCGGUGCAUUAGCUAGUUGGUAGGGUAACGGCCUACCAAGGCGAUGAUGCAUAGCCGAGUUGAGAGACUGAUCGGCCACAUUGGGACUGAGACACGGCCCAAACUCCUACGGGAGGCAGCAGUAC
rnacentral:rRNA from 1 species